UACGUAGGUGGCGAGCGUUGUCCGGAUUUACUGGGCGUAAAGCGCACGUAGGCGGGUUGUUAAGUCAGGGGUGAAAUCCUGGAGCUCAACUCCAGAACUGCCUUUGAUACUGGCAACCUAGAGGCUGGAAGAGGUUAGUGGAAUUCCCAGUGUAGAGGUGAAAUUCGUAGAUAUUGGGAAGAACACCAGUGGCGAAGGCGGCUAACUGGUCCAGAUCUGACGCUGAGGUGCGAAAGCGUGGGGAGCAAACAGGG
rnacentral:rRNA from 1 species